UACGAAGGGGGCUAGCGUUGUUCGGAAUCACUGGGCGUAAAGCGCUUGUAGGCGGAUCGUUAAGUCAGGGGUGAAAUCCCGAGGCUCAACCUCGGAACUGCCUUUGAUACUGGCGAUCUUCGAGUCCGGGAGAGGUGAGUGGAACUCCGAGUGUAGAGGUGAAAUUCGUAGAUAUUCGGAAGAACACCAGUGGCGAAGGCGGCUCACUGGACCGGAACUGACGCUGAGGCGCGAAAGCGUGGGGAGCAAACAGG
rnacentral:rRNA from 1 species